rnacentral:tRNA from 1 species
UGCCCGAUCGUAUAGUGGUAGUACAUCAGAUUCUGGCUCUGAUAGCCUUGGUUCGAAUCCAGGUCGGGUAACAA